CGGACGUAGGUAACCUGCCUGGUAGCGGGGGAUAACUAUUGGAACGAUAGCUAAUACCGCAUAAGAGUAGAUGUUGCAUGACAUUUGCUUAAAAGGUGCAAUUGCAUUACUACCAGAUGGACCUGCGUUGUAUUAGCUAGUUGGUGGGGUAACGGCUCACCAAGGCGACGAUACAUAGCCGACCUGAGAGGGUGAUCGGCCACACUGGGACUGAGACACGGCCCAG
rnacentral:rRNA from 1 species